rnacentral:rRNA from 1 species
CAGCAGUCGCCACGGGAAUACAGAGGGUGCGAGCGUUAAUCGGAUUUACUGGGCGUAAAGCGUGCGUAGGCGGCUUCUUAAGUCGGAUGUGAAAUCCCUGAGCUUAACUUAGGAAUUGCAUUCGAUACUGGGAAGCUAGAGUAUGGGAGAGGAUGGUAGAAUUCCAGGUGUAGCGGUGAAAUGCGUAGAGAUCUGGAGGAAUACCGAUGGCGAAGGCAGCCAUCUGGCCUAAUACUGACGCUGAGGUACGAAAGCAUGGGGAGCAAACAGGAUUAGAUACCCCCGUAGUCCCUGUCUCUUAUAC